rnacentral:tRNA from 1 species
AAGAGAUUAGUUAAAUUAACAUUAGUAUGUCACGCUAAAAUUGUUGGUACAGGCCAGCAUCUCUUG